rnacentral:rRNA from 1 species
UCGCCUCUUGCAAAAUUAAUGAAUAAGAGGUCCUGCCUGCCCAGUGACAUCCAGUUCAACGGCCGCGGUAUCCUGACCGUGCUAAGGUAGCGUAAUCACUUGUCUUUUAAAUGGAGACCUGUAUGAAUGGCAUAACGAGGGCUUGACUGUCUCCUCCCUCUGGUCAAUGAAAUUGAUCUCCCCGUGCAGAAGCGGGGAUCAAAUCAUAAGACGAGAAGACCCUAUGAAGCUUUAGGUACCAACGCAGCCCAUGUCAAUCCCCCUCUAGAUAAGGACCUAAACCUAGUGGACACUGCCCUAGUAUCUUUGGUUGGGGCGACCCUGGGGAAAUACAAAACCCCCAUGUGGAAUGGGAGCACUGUCCCCCCCUUUCAUGCUCCUACAAACUUGAAAUACAGUUCUAAUUUACAGAAUUUCUGACCAACAUGAUCCGGCAACGCCGAUUAACGGACCAAGUUACUCUAGGGAUAACAGCGCAAUCCUCUUUAAGAGACCCUAUCGACAAGGGGGUUUACGACCUCGAUGUUGGAUCAGGACAUCCUAAUGGUGCAGCCGCUAU